GUGCCAGCAGCCGCGGUAAUACGGAGGAUGCGAGCGUUAUCCGGAAUUAUUGGGCGUAAAGCGUCCGUAGGUGGUCAUGCAAGUCUGCCGUUAAAGAAUGGAGCUCAACUCCAUAGGAGCGGUGGAAACUGCAAGACUAGAGUACAGUAGGGGUAGCAGGAAUUCCCAGUGUAGCGGUGAAAUGCGUAGAUUUGGGAAGAACAUCGGUGGCGAAAGCGUGCUACUGGGCUGAAACUGACACUGAGGGACGAAAGCUAGGGUAGCGAAAGGGAUUAGAUACCCCUGUAGUCCUAGCCGUAAACGAUGGAUACUAGGCGUGGCUUGUAUCGACCCGAGCCGUGCCGAAGCUAACGCGUUAAGUAUCCCGCCUGGGGAGUACGCACGCAAGUGUGAAACUCAAAGGAAUUGACGGGGGCCCGCACAAGCGGUGGAGUAUGUGGUUUAAUUCGAUGCAACGCGAAGAACCUUACCAAGGCUUGACAUCCCUGGAAUCUUGCAGAAAUGCGAGAGUGCCUUAGGGAGCCAGGAGACAGGUGGUGCAUGGCUGUCGUCAGCUCGUGUCGUGAGAUGUUGGGUUAAGUCCCGCAACGAGCGCAACCCUCGUUUUUAGUUGCCAUCAUUAAGUUGGGCACUCUAGAGAGACUGCCGGUGACAAACCGGAGGAAGGUGGGGAUGACGUCAAGUCAUCAUGCCCCUUACGCCUUGGGCUACACACGUACUACAAUGGUCGGGACAACGGGCAGCUAAACCGCGAGGUCAAGCGAAUCCCAUCAAACCCGGCCUCAGUUCAGAUUGCAGGCUGCAACUCGCCUGCAUGAAGGAGGAAUCGCUAGUAAUCGCAGGUCAGAAUACUGCGGUGAAUUCGUUCCCGGGCCUUGUACACACCGCCCGUCACACC
rnacentral:rRNA from 1 species